UUUCCGUAGGUGAACCUGCGGAAGGAUCAUUAUUGAAACUUGAAUCGUAGCAUUGAGAACUGUUGCUGACCUGUUAAAGGGUAUGUGCACGUUCGACGUGUUGCGUUCUACUCAUCCACCUGUGCACCUUUGUAGACUUGAUUAACUUUCGCUUUCCAGCGGUUAGAAGGGCUGCUUUCGAGCUCCCUUUGUCUAUCAAGUCUAUGUCUAUAUAAUCUCUUGUAUGUCUAGAAUGUCUUGUUUAUGGGACGCAAGUCCUUUAAAUCUUAUACAACUUUCAACAACGGAUCUCUUGGCUCUC
rnacentral:misc_RNA from 1 species